UUUAGAUUUCUACUCAGGCCAUUCACUUCACAAAACUCUCUAAUAGGAACACUAGUAGAGAGGAAUGGUGCUCACAAUUUACUUUUUUCACACUCAAAAGUGAAUUUUAAUUCAUAUGUUCAAUAGUUGUGCACAUCUAGUCAAAGGUCCUUUUCUGCCUAGUGUUCUAAAGGUUUCUACUAAAAUUGCUAGUGAUGGGUUGAACUUGUUUUCAAC
rnacentral:lncRNA from 1 species